AUGGAGUGACAAAAUUGAACUUGACAGUCAACAAACACACAACUGGGGGUUUCUGAAGACAUUUGCCAAUGUGUGAAGCUUUCUGGAGAGGGCUCUUAAAACAAAAACUCUCUAAGUGGAAUGAUGAUUUGGCAUUCUCUCUGUGCUGUGGAGACCAGGAGCAAAGUUCAGGGUGUGCUUGGGAAAAGGACAAUGAUGUGUUUACCAAGGAAGCUAAGACACCUGGAAGGUGAAGCUUUAGGAAGAGUGAUGUUAUCAGAAGAAGAAACUGAACUGAAAUCCUUAACUGAGUGUUGAUAACAUAAUGAAGAGUAACCCUUUCAUGAAAAGAAGAAAGAGUGAAACCUGACUGGAGAAAGAUACAGCAUCAGGUCAGAGCACACUCGUCCAGUAUAAGCCAUUCCAAAUUCCCCUGAUGACAGCAUGACACAUUGUAGGAGCUUAAAUAGAUUCAAUAGGUGGUAUGCAGAGGUCUACAAGAGAGUGUCAGCCGUAAGAAUGGAAAGGCAUGGCAGGACCGAAAGUUACACAGAAACUAAAGAGCACAUAAUCAAGGCCAGUGGUUCUCAAGUGAGGCUAUUUUUGGUUGUCACAGCGACACAACAGGCUGAGGUGUGCUACUAGCAUCAGCUGGGUGAUGCCAUGAAAACAACUUGAUCCUUGAUAGCAAGAGAAAUCUGUCUUGUUUAUCACUGUAUCCCAAAUGUCUGUCAAAGAGUCUUGCAAAGAGUAAGCCUUCAAUAAAUACUUGUUU